UACAGAGGUCUCAAGCGUUGUUCGGAUUCAUUGGGCGUAAAGGGUGCGUAGGUGGCAUGGUAAGUCGGAUGUGAAAUCCCGGGGCUUAACCCCGGAACUGCAUUCGAUACUGCUGAGCUAGAGUACUGGAGAGGAGAUUGGAAUUUACGGUGUAGCAGUGAAAUGCGUAGAUAUCGUAAGGAAGACCAGUGGCGAAGGCGGAUCUCUGGACCGGAACUGACGCUGAGGCGCGAAAGCGUGGGGAGCAAACGGG
rnacentral:rRNA from 1 species